GAUGAACGCUGGCGGCGUGCCUAAUACAUGCAAGUCGAGCGAAUGGAUUAAGAGCUUGCUCUUAUGAAGUUAGCGGCGGACGGGUGAGUAACACGUGGGUAACCUGCCCAUAAGACUGGGAUAACUCCGGGAAACCGGGGCUAAUACCGGAUAACAUUUUGAACCGCAUGGUUCGAAAUUGAAAGGCGGCUUCGGCUGUCACUUAUGGAUGGACCCGCGUCGCAUUAGCUAGUUGGUGAGGUAACGGCUCACCAAGGCAACGAUGCGUAGCCGACCUGCGAGGGUGAGCGGCCACACUGGGACUGGAACACGGCCCAGACUCCUACGGGAGGCAGCAGUAGGGAAUCUUCCGCAAUGGACGAAAGUCUGACGGAGCAACGCCGCGUGAGUGACGAAGGCUUUCGGGUCGUAAAACUCUGUUGUUAGGGAAGAACAAGUGCUAGUUGAAUAAGCUGGCACCUUGACGGUACCUAACCAGAAAGCCACGGCUAACUACGUGCCAGCCGCCGCGGUAA
rnacentral:rRNA from 1 species